AUGACAGUUGGUUUACUGAUGACAGUAGUUUUCAUAAAAAAAAAAAAAAAUAAGAAGAAAAGCUAGGUAUGCCAUAGUGCUCACUAGCACUUUGCAAUUGCCAAAGCCUAAAAAUAAACAUUAACACUGACUCCAGAUAUGCCUUCCUGGUACUACAUGCCCAUGGAGCUAUUUGGAAGGAAAGGGGAUUGCUGUCAAGCCAUAACUCCCAAGCAAAUAUGGGCCUAAGUUACAAAUCCCUCCUUAUUGCUAUACUGAGGAUGGCAUAUAUCAAAUCUGGGAUACAUAUUUGUGGUUCACACCCACUAUUGGACAGCUCAGUCAAAAGGCAGUUUUAUGCUGGGAACAAAGAAAUCAUACAUAUGAUACUUGGGCAAAUAACACAUGACAUCCAGGAUGGCUAUCAUUAGAAAUAUGUUCCCAAGUAAUAGUACUCCAGACUACUGACUGGACAAGAAGACCUGACAUU